rfam:Beet virus Q genomic RNA 1
AGUGUUUGCCGUUCCACUUAAAUCGAAACGG